GUAGCAGUAAUGUAGUGGUAGCGCAUCCUCUCUGCACCCAGCAGGUCGUGGGUUCGAUCCCCAGCGGCUCCU
rnacentral:tRNA from 1 species